rnacentral:misc_RNA from 1 species
AAGUCGUAACAAGGUCUCCGUUGGUGAACCAGCGGAGGGAUCAUUACAGGGUCUGACGACUGCCCAAAACCAACCGUGCUCCUUUCCAUUCAUCUUGCUCCGGCGGCCGCCUGCUGGGGAGGCCGUCGGCCGGGCCUCGUGCCCGGUGGCUGCCGGAGCAAACCAACCAAAACUUUACACCGUAACGAUCUUCUGAGAACUUUCUAAAAGAAAAAUUACAACUCACAACAAUGGAUCUCUUGGCUCUG